GAUGAACGCUGGCGGUAUGCCUAACACAUGCAAGUCGAACGGGAUUCUUCGGAAUCUAGUGGCGGACGGGUGAGUAACGCGUGAGAAUCUGCCUUCAGAAUGGGGACAACAGGGAGAAAUCGCUGCUAAAACCCAAUGUGCCGAGAGGUGAAAUACUUGUAGCCUGAAGAGGAGCUCGCGUCCGAUUAGUUAGUUGGUGGGGUAAGAGCCUACCAAGGCAGCGAUCGGUAGCUGGUCUGAGAGGAUGAGCAGCCACACUGGGACUGAGACACGGCCCAGACUCCUACGGGAGGCAGCAGUGGGGAAUUUUCCGCAAUGGGCGAAAGCCUGACGGAGCAAUACCGCGUGAGGGAGGAAGGUUUUUGGAUUGUAAACCUCUUUUUUUAAGGAAGAAGAAAGUGACGGUACUUAAAGAAUAAGCAUCGGCUAACUCCGUGCCAGCAGCCGCGGUAAU
rnacentral:rRNA from 1 species